rnacentral:rRNA from 1 species
AUUGAACGCUGGCGGCAGGCCUAACACAUGCAAGUCGAACGAGUGGCGGACGGGUGAGUGAUGUCUGGGAAACUGCCUGAUGGAGGGGGAUAACUACUGGAAACGGUAGCUAAUACCGCAUACCCUCGGAUGUGCCCAGAUGGGAUUGGCUAGUAGGUGGGGUAAAGGCUCACCUAGGCGACGAUCCCUAGCUGGUCUGAGAGGAUGACCGGCAACACGGGAACGGAGAAACGGUCCAGACUCCUACGGGAGGCAGAAGUGGGGAAUAUUGCAAAAUGGGCGCAAGCCUGAUGCAGACAGGCCGCGGGUAUGAAGAAGGCCUUCGGGUGGUAAAGUACGUUCAGCGGGGAGGCGGUACCCACAGAAGAAGCACCGGCUAACUCCGUGCCAGCCGCCGCGGUAAUUC